rnacentral:misc_RNA from 1 species
GAUGAAGAACGUAGUAAAAUGCGAUACUUGGUGUGAAUUGCAGAAUCCCGUGAACCAUCGAGUUUUUGAACGCAAGUUGCGCCCGAAGCCUUUUGGCCGAGGGCACGUCUGCCUGGGCGUCACGCAUCGCGUCGCCCCCCACAAUUCUCCGUAAAAGGAACAUGUGUUUUGGGGGCGGAUAUUGGUCUCCCGUGCUCAUGGCGUGGUUGGCCGAAAUAGGAGUCCUUUCGAUGGACGCACGAACUAGUGUGGUCGUAAAAACCCUCGUCUUUUGUUUCGUGCUGUUGCUCGCAAGGUAAACUCUUUAAAAACCCCAAUGUGUCGUCUCUUGACGACGCUUCGACCGCGACCCCAGGUCAGGCGGGACUACCCGCUGAGUUUAAGCAUAUCAAUAAGCGGAGGA